CAGGGGGGNGGCUCNNUGGGCGGGGUGUGAACCCUCCGUGCCGCGUGAANGAUGAAGGUCCUCUGGAUUGUAAACUUCUUUUAUCUGGGACGAAAUCACUUUUUUCUAAGAGUGUUGACGGUACCAGAGGAAUAAGCACCGGCUAACUCCGUGCCAGCAGCCGCGGUAAUACGGAGGGUGCAAGCGUUAUCCGGAUUCACUGGGUUUAAAGGGUGCGUAGGCGGAUUUGUAAGUCCGUGGUGAAAUCUCCAGGCUUAACCUGGAAACUGCCAUGGAUACUAUAAGUCUUGAAUAUUGUGGAGGUUAGCGGAAUAUGUCAUGUAGCGGUGAAAUGCAUAGAUAUGACAUAGAACACCAAUUGCGAAGGCAGCUGGCUACACAAAUAUUGACGCUGAGGCACGAAAGCGUGGGGAUCAAACAGGAUUAGAUACCCUGGUAGUCCACGCCCUAAACGAUGAUUACUCGACAUUUGCGAUAUACAGUAAGUGUCUGAGCGAAAGCAUUAAGUAAUCCACCUGGGAAGUACGACCGCAAGGUUGANGCGGNNNNNNUUUUUUUUNGGGGGGG
rnacentral:rRNA from 1 species